ACGAAACACGCCCAUUACCGACGUAAAUCUCGACAUAACGUUUCAUCUGAUCUCAUUUUCAGUUACAGGAAAUGACCAAAGGAAAGGUGAAAAACAACAGCAGUGAUGGCAUAGCCCCACCUGAGCCUCAGUCACUCAGGUCAAGAAAGAGGGAGCAUCCAAGUGAUGACGCUUCCUGGGCUGAUGAUGUUCAGGUUAUGCUCCAUCAACAGGACACUGAAAAAAAUAAUACAGCAAUGGUCACCACACCGCUACCAUGUCCCCAGUUCCCUCUGCAGGAAUGUGCUACAAUCACAAAACAGCAGGGAGCAGUGGAACCCUGUCACCAAACAGGAAGGUACCAGAUCACCAUCUCAAACAUGCACUGAUCAACUCCAGGUCUUCAUACUAACCUCUGAAGAGGGUGAUGGAUCCUGUGCAACUGCUUUGGAAGAAGGUGCAAAUGAAAACUCUCAGUGUAAUUUGGAGAGGAAUCAAGAAACCACCCAAGAACAAUCCAGCAGCAUGUGCAAGAGUGAAGUCCAGGAAAUCAGAAAGGAGUCAGCAGCGGGGAUACCAACCAAAAAGAAGCGAAGGAUUGUUAUGUGUGGUCUGACAGAGAAGGAGCAGAGUCAUUUUUUUACAGACUCAAAAGCUUGAAAAUGGGCAGAAUGGAGUGGAGAGUGUUGAGAAGCUGAUGUGUAUUAACACAGCUUCUGACCUUGCGGCUCAGGAUGAGCUAUCUUCACCCCCGUUGCCAUCCUCACCGCUGUCCAUCCCAGUAGGCAGUGUUGCAGAGCAGAGUGAUGCAGAAAUCAUACUUCACUCCAGUCACUGUGUAGAAGAUAACAGGGCAGAAACUGAAGCCUAUGUUGCUGUCACCACCUCAGAUGGGACCCACACUGUCUG